UAGAAUCAUCUAACGUGGAACCGAUAAUUCAACAUUAUUGCAAGAAUGAUACUUUUAUUCCUGGGAAUAUCGAGGCGAAAAACAUACUUGAAGUAUUAGCGACAAGUAAAAUGGUUGCUAACAAGUAUAAUUGCGAGCCUAGCUCUAUGGAUUUGGAUAAUUGUUAAAUUCCUUAUUGAACAAAAUUAUUAAUCAUAAAG